GAUGAACGCUGGCGGCGUGCCUAAUACAUGCAAGUCGAGCGAACAGACGCGGCGCUUGCUCCUCUGACGUUAGCGGCGGACGGGUGAGUAACACGUGGAUAACCUACCUAUCAGACUGGGAUCACUUCGGGACACCGGCGCUAAUACCGGAUAAUAUCUUGAACCGCGUGGUUCAAUAGUGAAAUACGGUUUUGCUGUCACUUAUCGAUGGUUCCGCGCCGCAUUAGCUAGUUGGUAAGGUAACGGGUUACCAAGGCAACGAUGCGUAGACGACCUGAGAGGGUGAUCGGCGACACUGGAACGUAGACACGGUCCAGACGACUACGGGAGGCAGCAGUAGGGAAUCUGCCGCAGUGGGCGGAAGCAUGACGGAGCGACGUCGCGUGAGUGAUGAAGGUGUUCGGAUCGGAAUACUCUGUUAUGAGGGAAGAACAAAUGUGUAAGUAACUAUGCACGUCUUGACGGUACCUAAUCAGAAAGCCACGGCUAACUACGUG
rnacentral:rRNA from 1 species